CCUCCCCACCUCCCGGCAACGCGUGACGCCUACUCUGAUGACGCGCCGCACCCCCCACUGCACAGCGACACCCCUCGCCGUUCCUCCCAGCACCGGCAACUCCCUCCACCGGAUGCUGGUCGUGUCCAUCCACCCGCCUCCCUCCACCCGCGACCCUUCUCCUGUCCGUCCGCGAUCCUUCUCCUUGUCCGGCCGCUCCCUUCACUCCCUCCACCGCGCUCCGCCUACCGUAUUCCACCAUCGAGCGCAUAGGCCGCUCAGGCCAACAAGCCGCCAUGCUGGCCACAGAACAGGCCCCCACUGGAUCCCCACCGCCGGGUAGCCUGAGCAGCUCCGGGUGGUCACCUCGUCCUGGAUCCAGGUGGUGGUCGCGGCCAGGAUACAGCUAGCUCAAGGGAGGGGUGGCCAGGCAUUCCCAUUGGCUCUCAGAUGCUGAGCACUCCCCUCUUCUUCUUCUUCUUCUUCUUCUUUUUGGGUGCAGGAUACCCUUGUCCCAGCCUUUGUAAUGUGACUUGUGUUUUUUUCUCCAGCUUAAUAUAUUCAGGCAGUUCAAUUGCCAGUUCAUAAAAAAAGUAUUGCGAUGAGGACGUUGUUGAUGGUUGUCAAUGGCAAAGUCGGAGUUGGUUGCUUGCUUCAGGAGAAGUGACAAUGAUGAUGCUUGUGCUGCCUCGGCCACGCUUCUCUUGGUUUAUUUGAAGCAGAGGAAUUUCGAAGCAAAGUGCAGGUAUGAGGUAUUUACAACCCAAACUCGGAGUUGGUAGCAUUCGGACUGGACAAUUGCUUCACAUGAUGGGGAAAAUAUCUGCACAUUUUGCUGAAAAUUGAAAUGACAAGCCUACGAAUAUGUUGGUCGAAUUGUCAGUGAUUCACAUACCCGCCUUCACAUAAACUAUGAAGGGACUAGAGAUUAUUUCUCGGCGGCUCAGGUACUUCAUGCUUCCGCUACUGCCAUAUUUACACUGCCAGAAAAAAACACAGCACACCCAGAGCAGAGCUAGAGUAGUUCCCAGUACACCUUACCUUCUGGAACUGAUCCAAACUCUUCAACUCAGCCAGGGUUCAGAGAGUUCACCAAUCUGCCGUAACUGUCAACCCGUCACAAUCUCAAGAGUCUGUAUAUAACAAUAGUCUAUAUAUACUCAUUUCUAUUUAUGUAAAUCGUAGUAGGGUCAGAUUUCUUAUAGCCUAUAUAGGGGAUAAUAUGCACAAUCGGGAACAAACGCACUCAUGCACUCUCCACCUUCAGCUGGGAAGGGGGCGUUGGGAUUCGUUCAGCACCUCAUCGGGCCGCUCUGCUCGCGAAACAUGGAUAAACACAACACACACACACACACACUCACACCUAUAACAUCUGCUUUCUUAUCUGCACAGUGCAAAGCAAGUGAGGUUCCCUGCUUGCUGUUUGCGGCCUAGAAAAGCUGAAAAAGAGGCUUGUCGAACCGUCACCGAAUGACCGGAGGUCUGCUGGCUUCACCAGUGCCCUGCAUAGUGGGCAGGUGCGCUCCCUCUCAAACCUGCCAUCAUCAAGAUAAAAAACGUUACAAGGGAAAUGCUACAAGAUACUCUGAAUGUUGAGAUCAUGAAAAACUGUAACUAGAGGGGAGUGGACGGAAUGUCUGUGCAUUAUCAUCUAUUUUAUUUCCUGAAACACAAACUAGCUGUGCCAGUUCAAUAUGUGAAUUCUCAUCAGUACAUGGCUUCCUCCGUCGUGUGAUCAAUGGUCGGAGCUCACCGAUGAUGGAGGAUGUGGAGCUUCACUACCAUUCGCAGCUCCAGCCAUGGUCCGGAUCAUACUGAGGCUCUGGACCCUCCCUCAUAAACUCACCUUGAGGACAUCUAUUUUAUUUCCUGAAACACAAACUAGGUGUGCCGGUUUUGUAUGUGAAGUAUCAUCAGUUUGUGAAAAACACAUAUGACAGUACUAUGUGUGUGUGUGCAAAAUAAAACCGAGUGUUUUUAUUGUAUAAUAGUUUUGCACCAAAAGGUUAUUCUGAAGCGGGUGGCUAGUGUUGCAGUAGUUCAGAAUGUUGAACCCACAUUGAUGCAGGCGCUCAUGAGUAGAGGCAGGCGCACCCAUGAGCAUUCUUCCAAUGUGGUGUUCGCCGCCGGCGCCACAGUCCGUUCACGCCCGAUAGCCGAGGCCGUUCAAUGACACAACGACAAGGUAUUGCCAGAGUACUGUCUAGUCUGAAGCCAGCUACACAUUCGCACAUGAGUCGGUGCUCCUAAAGUGCUCUAAUUAGCAAUAGAAAAUGACAAGGGAGUGCAUCCAAAAGAUAGGUGGCAAGCAUGCCUGCUACAGUGUGUUGAUAACUGAAUUGAAGGAUCUUCAGUAUAUGAACCACAAAAAGAAAGGUGCAUCCCGUACAAACAAAGAAGUGCAUGCAGUACAUCAGCUCAAGAUCCAAUGGUUCAAUUAUCUUUUGGUUUGGCGAAAUGCUUCUCUUGCAGGUUUUUUGUUUUGCUGUAAUUUUCAUUUAUAUCACAGGAUGUAACACCAUCUCUGAAACAAAUGCAUAUGUUCAGUUAAGAACUUGGCGUGGUGGGUGUACUGUUGAUAAUCUGAACUUGUUUCUCUCAACUACAGAAAACAUGUAACCUUUGUUGUGCUCCUCUGCAAUUUCUCUAGAAAACAUGGAUUGUUUUGGUUUAA